rnacentral:rRNA from 1 species
GAUGAACGCUGGCGGCGUGCCUAAUACAUGCCAGUCGAGCGAACAGACGAGGAGCUUGCUCCUCUGACGUUAGCGGCGGACGGGUGAGUAACACGUGGAUAACCUACCUAUAAGACUGGGAUAACUUCGGGAAACCGGAUCUAAUACCGGAUAAUAUAUUGAACCGCAUGGUUCAAUAGUGAAAUACGGUUUUGCUGUCACUUAUAGAGGGAUCCGCGCCGCAUUAGCUAGUUGGUAAGGUAACGGCUUACCAAGGCGACGAUGCGUAGCCGACCGGAGAGGGUGAUCGGCCACACUGGAACUGAGACACGGUCAAGACUCCUACGGGAGGCAGCAGUAGGGAAUCUUCCGCAGUGGGCGAAAGCCUGACGGAGCAACGCCGCGUGAGUGAUGAAGGUCUUCGGAUCGUAAAACUCUGUUAUUAGGGAAGAACAAAUGUGUAAGUAACUAUGCACGUCUUGACGGUACCUAAUCAGAAAGCCCCGGCUAACUACGUG